rnacentral:rRNA from 1 species
AGUGAACGCUGGCGGCGUGCCUAAUACAUGCAAGUCGAGCGAACAGACGAGGAGCUUGCUCCUCUGACGUUAGCGGCGGACGGGUGAGUAACACGUGGAUAACCUACCUAUAAGACUGGGAUAACUUCGGGAAACCGGAGCUAAUACCGGAUAAUAUAUUGAACCGCAUGGUUCAAUAGUGAAAGUCGGUUUUGCUGUCACUUAUAGAUGGAUCCGCGCCGCAUUAGCUAGUUGGUAAGGUAACGGCUUACCAAGGCAACGAUGCGUAGCCGACCUGAGAGGGUGAUCGGCCACACUGGAACUGAGACACGGUCCAGACUCCUACGGGAGGCAGCAGUAGGGAAUCUUCCGCAAUGGGCGAAAGCCUGACGGAGCAACGCCGCGUGAGUGAUGAAGGUCUUCGGAUCGUAAAACUCUGUUAUUAGGGAAGAACAAAUGUGUAAGUAACUAUGCACGUCUUGACGGUACCUAAUCAGAAAGCCACGGCUAACUACGUG